UUAUAAUCUCUGGUGGGUUUAGGAAAAAAGAAGAAUAAUUUAGAAAAAUAUAUGGAUUUAAUUGUCACUGACAGUGCUGAUGAGUUGGCGAGGAUAGGAGUAUUUUAUAUUUUCUUCUUCUCGCUGUCUUCGAGGUCGAGGACGACACCGAGAAGUCCUUCAUGAGAUCCGUCCAGGGAUCGUCCUCACAGCACCGGAUAAACGGUUCGAUGGUGACCUCUUAGGCUUACCUAACGGAGCUGGAGCACCUGGGGAUCAACCUCAAAGCCAACAACUUCCUGGUGUUCCAGGGGCUAUGGAGUGUAUCGCCAUGAAGAACCCGAAGGAACGGACAACCCUCUUCAAGGAGAUCUUUGAUUUUGGGGCUUUAAAAUCAGAAUACGAACGUCUCAGGACUGGAAUGUUUCGUGCAAUGAAGCUGCCCUAGAUGAUCAGAAAAAACUGUGUCAAGAGCUGCAGUGAGACGUGGGCAUCUCCAAGGGCAAGGUUCAGAAUCUACAAUCUGUACGAUAUGUGCGAGCUCAUGUACAAACGUUACAACGUGGCUAUCACGAAUGUCCUGACGAAGGGAGUUGCGAAAAUUGUGACUGAGAUGGAUACUCGCCAACGUCCAGUCUCAAUAAAAUAACACAUGAUGCGGAAAAAACAUAGCAGUUAGAAAUAAUGCAGGAAUAAAAACGAUUGACUAUAAUGUCAUGACAUUUUUUGAAACUGUAUGUGCUGUUGCCAAUUGAGUAGGGGUGGGUCAAGUCAGGCAGUCCAUAGGGGAGUUCCUGAUCCAAAAAGAAGCUAGUGAUGUCACUUGAAGCAUUUGUUCUCGAGAUAAUCAGUGAAAACGAUUCUUGAACAGAAAUGUGAUGUCGCGGAGUUUUUGGGGGAAUCGUGGGGCAAAAUGGGUUCAUAGGAUUGAAUAUUUUCAUGGCUUUAUUAUGAAUUUUGAUUUGGGAUUGUAACUAUUAUAGUUCUCGAGAUAAUCGAAAUUCUAUCGACGUUUUGGAGAAUUGAAUUAAACUUCUUAACAUUUUUUUUGGAGUUCUUGGGGCAAAGGGUGGGGGUUUAUCAUGUCAGGGAGUCCAUAGAGGAGUUCCUGAUCCAAACAGAAGCUGGGGAUGUCUCUUGAAGCAUUCGUCCUCGAGAUAAUGAGUAAAAACGAAUCUUGGACAGAAAUGUGAUUUCGUUGAGUUUUUGGGGGAAUCGUGGAGCAAAACGGGUUCAUAAAGGGUCGGUGGGAUUGGAAAUUUUCCUGGCUUCAUUAUGAAUUUUGAUUUGAGGUUCUGAAUAUUGUAGUUCUCGAGAUGAUCAAAAUUCUACGGCCAUUUUGGGAAAUUGAAUUAAACACUUGAAAUUUCCAGAAAAUUUUAUUCAAUUUUUUUCUGACCCACCAAUUUUCAUUUCAAAUUCAUUUAAUUCACCGUUGAAUUUCGUGAAAAUGUUUAGUGUGUCUAAAAAUGGAAGAAACUUGCCGAAUUCACUGAAUUACAGAUAAAAGCCUUUGUCAGUGACUUUACACUCUAAUAAAAAUAAACAAACUGUUGGAUAGUCAAAGUGGUUUGAGAAAUGCUAUAAAAAGAAAAUAGAAAGUGUUUCUGAUAGAAUCUGUCUGAAUUAAAAGUUUCAAAUAUUAUUAUUCUUUUAUUCUCAUAUUCAAUCAAUAACAAAAUUGAGGAACGUUUUCAACAACAAAUUUUGUCAGCAGAUUUUGUUUCUACUGAAAUGAUUUUAGGAAUUCAUGUCAAAAGACCUCUUAUGUAGUUAAAAAAAAUAUUCAUAAGAAAUCUUUCUUUUGUCACUUUCCCCUUUAAAAUCAUUCGUUACCAAAAUAAUUAAAGACUUGUUAAGAUGAAUACUGUGUUUUUCUCUUAGCUAUAAGCUCCAUGAAUGUGGAUGUCAUAAAUAUAUUCAGGUGAAUUAUUCAAUUCUUUCUCGGAUCCAAUGGCUUCAGAUUAUUUAUUUUGUUUGUUGAUUCAAUUCACUAGUGCAUCUUAUAGAAAUUGUCAGUUUCUUCUCGAUGUUUCGCCCCCAUACCUGCAAUAGAAAUUUAUAAGAAUUAAUAUUUUAAGAAUUCUGCUAAAAAAAACCUUUAUCAGUUGCUUUAGAUUCGAAUGAAAUAAACAAACCCUUCAACAAAAAAUUCGUUCAGAACAAUUCAUGAAUAGUAAACAGAAAUUGUUUCUGAUAGAGUCUGUCUGAAUGAAAAGUUUCAAAUAUUAUUAUCGUUUUAUUUUCCUAUUGCAUCAAUAACAAAAUUAUGAAAAGUUUUCAUUCAACAAUGAUAUUGUCAAUAGAUUAUGGAAUGCGUCAUUUUCGGAGUUUAUGUCAAGAGACUUCUGUGUAGUUGAAAAAAUCUAUGGCAAUCUGUCUUUUCACAAUUUCCCUCUAGAAUAACUCAUUCCCAAAAUGAUUAAAUAUUUACCGAGAAGAAGAAAAUAUAAAAUACUCGUAGCCUCGCCAACUCAUCAGCACUGUCAGUGACAAUUAAAUCCACAUAUUUUUGACUCGCUGUUUGAAGAUGGCGGCGUGAGGUGGGCAUGAGCCCACUGAAAUGUAGUAUAUACUGGAAAGGGCACUGAUCCGCCUGACACGAGCCGACAGAGAGGGGCGAUUUUC